UCUUUUUGGUCAUGUUUUAUGUAUAAUUUCAUUUAAAUUAAAUACUUUUUCCAAAACUACAAAAUUCUUAGUCGCAAAAAAAUAAAAAAAAAGUAAAACUGACACAGUUGAAAUCUGAACCCGGGCCGACCGGCUCAUAGUUCAAUUUCAUUACCACUAAACCACGUGCUUGCGGCGAACACAUUGUCAUGAUUUUUUUUGUUUUUAUUAUUUUAUUAAAGAAAAUGUUGUUCAUCCUCCAAUUUUUUUUGCUUAAAAUAGUCCAAAGAAGAUUAGCUUACUAUUUCAUAUUCAAAAAAGUUAAAAUUCGGAGAUACCUAAAGCCGACUAGAACCAAAGUAAAUAAGCUUAACCAUUCAAUUUUAUAACAAUAAGCAUUAAAUUUUAAUAAUAAAAAAAUAUAUUUAAAAAAUGACCUUUUAUUGAUAAUGACCCACUAUAUGUUUUAUUUAAGAGUAAAACCCUGUAAAAAACCGGUGAUUUCUCAAAUUUUGUUUGGAAUAAUACCUAUGACUCAUAAGUUAUCUAAUGCAAACAUAACCUUAACUGACAGUCUACAUUUAGAUAGAGCACGAAAAAUCUAAAUUUUUCUUGCUUAUUUAUCGAAAAAAUAAACUAUAAUAUAUUGUUAAAAAAGAUGAAUAUGGUUGAAAAUUCUGUGGAACUAUUUCAAUCGAAUGGACAAGACUCUCUGGCAGAGAAAGCAGAUAAAUUGGAAAAAUGUUGUGACCGACAUUAUCUUAUAAAUUCCAGUUUACUCUUAAGUGAUGGAGAUAACACGACGAAUGUCAGUUUAUUGGAUCUAAACGCCACUAUAGAAGCACAGAACAUGCGAAUAAUUGUUCGUGAAAGAGAUCAAUUAAUUCGAAGCCUAGAGAGAGAAAACAUGUUUCUCAGAGAACAAGUGAACUCUCUCAACUUGAUGCUGGAUCAGCUAACGGCUUCCACAAAAAGUUUGGCAGCCGCAAAAAAUGAUAUUAGAAUAAAAGUUGAAAAUUCUACAGGAGUUUCCAUGAAGAAGUGGUACACACGACCCAAAGUUGUACUAACGGGUAGUGCUAUCGCUAUUGUAUUGUCUUUAUAUUUGAAAUAUAAAAUUAGAAAUUGGUAAAAA